rnacentral:rRNA from 1 species
AUACAUGCAGUCGAGCGAAUUGAAGGGAGCUUGCUCCCUGAUAUUAGCGGCGGACGGGUGAGUAACACGUGGGCAACCUGCCCUGCAGAUGGGGAUAACUCCGGGAAACCGGGGCUAAUACCGAAUAAUCAGUUCUUCCGCAUGGAAGAACUCUGAAAGACGGUUUCGGCUGUCACUGCAGGAUGGGCCCGCGGCGCAUUAGCUAGUUGGUGGGAUAACGGCCUACCAAGGCGACGAUGCGUAGCCGACCUGAGAGGGUGAUCGGCCACACUGGGACUGAGACACGGCCCAGACUCCUACGGGAGGCAGCAGUAGGGAAUCUUCCACAAUGGACGAAAGUCUGAUGGAGCAACGCCGCGUGAGCGAAGAAGGUUUUCGGAUCGUAAAGCUCUGUUGCGAGGGAAGAACAAGUACGGGAGUAACUGCCCGUACCUUGACGGUACCUCGUCAGAAAGCCACGGCUAACUACGUGCCAGCAGCCGCGGUAAUACGUAGGUGGCAAGCGUUGUCCGGAAUUAUUGGGCGUAAAGCGCGCGCAGGCGGUCCUUUAAGUCUGAUGUGAAAGCCCACGGCUCAACCGUGGAGGGUCAUUGGAAACUGGAGGACUUGAGUACAGAAGAGGAAAGCGGAAUUCC